ACUAAAAUGACAGAGAGAUGUGUAAGAUUUAGGAUCUUAUUAGGAAGAAUAUUUCUUCUUUUAGUG
rnacentral:tRNA from 1 species